CCCCUUUGAAGGGUGAAGACUUUGGUGCCUGGGCAUGCGCAGAGCUGGAAGGGACCAGGAAUCCCCUCAUCCAACUCGCUCAUGCUACAGCCUGCAGGUCCCCACCUGGAAAAUGGGAGCAGUAAUGCCUGCCCUGCGAGGCUGCUGAGUGGACACAGUGAGGCUCACAGCGCGUGCACACCAUGCUGAACAGCCGCUGGCUUCCCUCUCUCCCCUACCCAGUGACUACCUGCCCAGACAUGUCUCCCGUCCUGUCCUCCGGGGCCCAGCCCCUGCCUCCCUGCUUCUGUCCCUGGUCCCUCUGUUGCCGCCAUCCCCAGAAAGUCACCCAGGGCCUGCCUGCACUUGCCUUCACCUGAGGGAGCUGC